AAGGAAUAAAGAAUAAGAAUAGCUGCUAACUAAUUCUUAAAGCGGUUAAAUUCCGUUUGUUCCUUU
rnacentral:tRNA from 1 species